GCAGUCGAACGAGUUCUGAUUAUUGAAAGGUGCUUGCAUCUUGAUUUAAUUUUGAACGAGUGGCGGACGGGUGAGUAACACGUGGGUAACCUGCCCUUAAGUGGGGGAUAACAUUUGGAAACAGAUGCUAAUACCGCAUAAAUCCAAGAACCGCAUGGUUCUUGGCUGAAAGAUGGCGUAAGCUAUCGCUUUUGGAUGGACCCGCGGCGUAUUAGCUAGUUGGUGAGGUAACGGCUCACCAAGGCAAUGAUACGUAGCCGAACUGAGAGGUUGAUCGGCCACAUUGGGACUGAGACACGGCCCAAACUCCUACGGGAGGCAGCAGUAGGGAAUCUUCCACAAUGGACGCAAGUCUGAUGGAGCAACGCCGCGUGAGUGAAGAAGGCUUUCGGGUCGUAAAACUCUGUUGUUGGAGAAGAAUGGUCGGCAGAGUAACUGUUGUCGGCGUGACGGUAUCCAACCAGAAAGCCACGGCUAACUACGUGCCAGCAGCCGCGGUAAUACGUAGGUGGCAAGCGUUAUCCGGAUUUAUUGGGCGUAAAGCGAGCGCAGGCGGUUUUUUAAGUCUGAUGUGAAAGCCCUCGGCUUAACCGAGGAAGUGCAUCGGAAACUGGGAAACUUGAGUGCAGAAGAGGACAGUGGAACUCCAUGUGUAGCGGUGAAAUGCGUAGAUAUAUGGAAGAACACCAGUGGCGAAGGCGGCUGUCUGGUCUGUAACUGACGCUGAGGCUCGAAAGCAUGGGUAGCGAACAGGAUUAGAUACCCUGGUAGUCCAUGCCGUAAACGAUGAAUGCUAGGUGUUGGAGGGUUUCCGCCCUUCAGUGCCGCAGCUAACGCAUUAAGCAUUCCGCCUGGGGAGUACGACCGCAAGGUUGAAACUCAAAGGAAUUGACGGGGGCCCGCACAAGCGGUGGAGCAUGUGGUUUAAUUCGAAGCAACGCGAAGAACCUUACCAGGUCUUGACAUCUUUUGAUCACCUGAGAGAUCAGGUUUCCCCUUCGGGGGCAAAAUGACAGGUGGUGCAUGGUUGUCGUCAGCUCGUGUCGUGAGAUGUUGGGUUAAGUCCCGCAACGAGCGCAACCCUUAUGACUAGUUGCCAGCAUUUAGUUGGGCACUCUAGUAAGACUGCCGGUGACAAACCGGAGGAAGGUGGGGAUGACGUCAAAUCAUCAUGCCCCUUAUGACCUGGGCUACACACGUGCUACAAUGGAUGGUACAACGAGUUGCGAGACCGCGAGGUCAAGCUAAUCUCUUAAAGCCAUUCUCAGUUCGGACUGUAGGCUGCAACUCGCCUACACGAAGUCGGAAUCGCUAGUAAUCGCGGAUCAGCACGCCGCGGUGAAUACGUUCCCGGGCCUUGUACACACCGCCCGUCACACCAUGAGAGUUUGUAACACCCGAAGCCGGUGGCGUAACCCUUUAGCCG
rnacentral:rRNA from 1 species